AGAGUUUGAUCCUGGCUCAGGACGAACGCUGGCGGCGUGCCUAAUACAUGCAAGUAGAACGCUGACUACUUUAGCUUGCUAGAGUAGAAGGAGUUGCGAACGGGUGAGUAACGCGUAGGUAACCUGCCUACUAGCGGGGGAUAACUAUUGGAAACGAUAGCUAAUACCGCGUAACAGUGUUUAACACAUGUUAGAUGCUUGAAAGAUGCAAAUGCAUCACUAGUAGAUGGACCUGCGUUGUAUUAGCUAGUUGGUGGGGUAACGGCCUACCAAGGCGACGAUACAUAGCCGACCUGAGAGGGUGAUCGGCCACACUGGGACUGAGACACGGCCCAGACUCCUACGGGAGGCAGCAGUAGGGAAUCUUCGGCAAUGGGGGCAACCCUGACCGAGCAACGCCGCGUGAGUGAAGAAGGUUUUCGGAUCGUAAAGCUCUGUUGUAAGAGAAGAACGUGUGUGAGAGUGGAAAGUUCACACAGUGACGGUAACUUACCAGAAAGGGACGGCUAACUACGUGCCAGCAGCCGCGGUAAUACGUAGGUCCCGAGCGUUGUCCGGAUUUAUUGGGCGUAAAGCGAGCGCAGGCGGUUUAAUAAGUCUGAAGUUAAAGGCAGUGGCUUAACCAUUGUUCGCUUUGGAAACUGUUAAACUUGAGUGCAGAAGGGGAGAGUGGAAUUCCAUGUGUAGCGGUGAAAUGCGUAGAUAUAUGGAGGAACACCGGUGGCGAAAGCGGCUCUCUGGUCUGUAACUGACGCUGAGGCUCGAAAGCGUGGGGAGCAAACAGGAUU
rnacentral:rRNA from 1 species